rnacentral:lncRNA from 1 species
AUGAUGUGUCGUUCAGGUAAACAUACUUUUAUGUUUGAAACGCUCUCUGCAGCUACACGCUAUUGUUAUUCAGUCGUUCGCUUUCAUUUGAAUAUAUUUGUAUAGAAAUAUUUGAAAGGAAUAAAUAAUAAGGACCCUAAGGCUGGUAAAUAUUGAUGCUUUCAUAUCUAUGCAAAUCUGUGAACAACGGCAAUAUGUGACAAGUUUUAGAAACAGAUAAAUGUAUAAAUGUAUAAAACAUGUGAUAUCUAUAAUGCGUUUAGAUGCAUGCUGCCUGUAUGAUGUAAUAAUUUGCUGCAAAAAAAAAAAGGGAAAAUUUGUGCCGGAAGGAACGAUCUUGUUAAUCAAAACGGAUAUCAAAUCUUGGUGUACUAUGGUUUACAUCUCUAUUGAAAGUGAAAGUAAUACACAGUCAAGUCAAGAGCAACUACCUUACAGACGACAAUUAAAUGGAUCAACUUACGACAAAUGGCGGCGACUUGGAAACGUCCGUGGUUAAAAUAGCCUUCCCUCAUCAAGUAAUGACUGAAAAAUGGAUGCUGGUUUUACUCAUCGUUGGCUGCACCUCACUCGUAUUUCUCAUUUGUUUUCCUAUUGACUUCUAUCUUUACCGACGCCGUAAACGUCUUGUAAGAGAACGGAAGAAUCUUACCAUGUACAGACCCCAAUCAAGCCUCGAAUAGAGCGGCACAAUAUCAUGCAAAAGUAACAGUUACAAACGUGUCGGCUGAAAUAGACUAUAGUAAAAUAAAUGAAAUUGAGCAAAGGAAAUAUCGUGCUCGAAGAGGCGUGACCAGAUUUUUGAGCAUGCUUAGAAAAAAAUCUAGCGCAGAAGCAUUAGAAUUUCGAGGGACCUUUGCCAGAGAGGUCAUUGUCUGAGAGUUCAGACUUAUACUUGAAAACGAUGCAGGAAAUUGAAAUGGAAACACCUGACAAUCAUGGAAACAUUUAUAAUAAAAUGAAUGACAACAUUCAUAACAUUACACAUUGCGUUAAUGAACUAACAGGAAGUUCAGAAGAGAAAAAUACACAUUGUAUAUCAUAUGAUGACAAUUAUUUUGAAUAUAGUCAUAAGAAAAUGUUCUCAAGUGUCUCCAAGGCAAAAAAUGAAAAUCAGGAGUGUUUCAAUUAUAAGAAGAAAACGUCACUCUUGGAGAAUUGUUGAUGAUAAAACGUUGUCACAACUGGAGGCAAAUCAUGUGAAGAAAAAGUCACACUUAGGAGUCAAUCAUGAGAAGGAAACAUUCUCGCCUACGGGCUCUUGAACCUCUUGAAAAUACGAUAAACGUUCUAGGAGAAACAAGAAACAGACAUCGAUUCACUAUUCCAAUUUGCCGUAGAAAUGAGGAACAUUUGGAACCGGUGGAAUAUAGUAGGACGAAACUUACAAAGACGUUAUUCACAACACUGACAAAAAUCGUAAGGAAAUUGUUUUUGCAGUGUCAUCUGCUUUAAAAUUGACUGGAGAUGACGCUGACAGUCUUUACACACGAUUAUAAAAACAGAGGGUUUAGUACGGAAAAGGCAUGUAAAGGCGUUUUAAGCGAUACUGCAUUGCUGUUUCAAACAGUCUCUGAUGCAGAUGACAAACGAUUUAAAAACAAGAAAACAUUGACCCAUUCCCAAUCUGAACAAUGUUUGAGCGGACAUUUUAGCAACUCAAAGCGCUCUCAUAGGAAUGGACGAAAACAUAACGUUGUCUCUCCCGUCAGUAAGGAUACAUUUAUCUUUUCAGAAUGAAGGAAAUUAUUUAAGUGAAAGGACAAACGAUAUCGCCAUCCCUUUAAUUUCAGAAUAUUCGGUAACGUCAAAAGUUAAAAGGAAGAAGAGGAAACCUUUUGGGAAAAAGCACUGCUCAGAUUCUAUGAUAGAGCUCCACUAC